GUUGAUCCUGCGGGAGGUUGCUGCUAUUUGGGUUCGAUUUAGCCAUGCAAGUCAGGUAGCAAUACCGGCGACAUGCUCAGUAACACGUCGAUAACCUACCUUUAGGUGGGGGAUAACCUCGGAAACCUGAGGGUAAUACCCCAUAGGAGCUUUUUUCUGGAAUGAUAUAGCUCUUAAAGAUUACGCCUAAAGAUGGGUCGGCGGCGGAUUAGGUUGUUGGUGGGGUAAUGGCCCACCAAGCCGAUGAUCCGUAGGGGCCUUGAGAGAGGUAGCCCCGAGAAGGACACUGAAAUACUGGUCCUAGCCCUACGGGGUGCAGCAGGCGCGAAACCUUUACAAUGCACGAAAGUGUGAUAGGGGGACCCAAAGUGCUCAUGCAAUGCAUGGGCUUUUGUUAAGCACAAAUAGCUUGGCGAAUAAGUGGUGGGAAAGACUGGUGCCAGCCGCCGCGGUAACACCAGCGCCACAAGUGGUAACCAUGGUUACUGGGCCUAAAGCGUCCGUAGCCGGCUUUGUAAAUCUUUUGUGAAAUUGUUGGGCUUAACCUAACAACGUGCAGAAGAGACUGCAAAGCUAGGAACCGGGAGGAGUUAGGAGUAUUUUUGGGGGAGCGGUAAAAUGUUAUAAUCCCAAGAAGACUACCAGUGGCGAAGGCGCCUAACUAGAACGGAUUCGACGGUGAUGGACGAAAGCCAGGGGAGCGAAACGGAUUAGAUACCCGAGUAGUCCUGGCUGUAAACGCUGCGAGCUAGGUGUCAUGUAUUCUUCGGGAAUAUGUGGUGUCGUAGAGAAGUCGUUAAGCUCGCCGCCUGGGAAGUACGGCCGCAAGACUGAAACUUAAAGGAAUUGGCGGGGGAGCACCACAAGGGGUGCGGCGUGCGGUUUAAUCCAAUUCAACACGGAAAAUCUCACCAGAGGCGACGGCAGGAUGAAAGUCAUGCUAAAGACAUUACUUGACGAGCCGAGAGGUAGUGCAUGGCCGUCGGCAGCUCGUACCGUGAGGUGUCCUGUUAAGUCAGGCAACGAGCGAGACCUGUACCUAUAAUUGCCAUCAGCUUCUUUUGAAGGACUGGGCACAUUAUAGGGACUGCCCUCGAAAGGGGGAGGAAGGUGCAGGCUACGGUAGGUCUGUAUGCUCCGAAUCUUCUGGGCUACACGCGCGCAACAAUGGUAAGGACAAUGGGAUGCCACUCCGAAAGGAGAAGCUAAACCUCAAAACCUUAUCUUAGUUCAGAUCGAGGAUUGUAACUCAUCCUCGUGACGAUGGAAUCCCUAGUAAUCGGAUCUCAUCAUGAUCCAGUGAAUGUGUCCCUGCUCCUUGCACACACCGCCCGUCAAACCAACCGAGCAGGGUUUUGGUGAGCCUUGGUUUUUUGACCAAGCCGAACCUAAGCUCAGUAAGGUGGGUUAAGUCGUCACAAGGUA
rnacentral:rRNA from 1 species